rnacentral:rRNA from 1 species
AGAGUUUGAUCCUGGCUCAGGACGAACGCUGGCGGCGUGCCUAAUACAUGCAAGUAGAACGCUGAAGAGAGGAGCUUGCUCUUCUUGGAUGAGUUGCGAACGGGUGAGUAACGCGUAGGUAACCUGCCUUGUAGCGGGGGAUAACUAUUGGAAACGAUAGCUAAUACCGCAUAACAAUGGAUGACACAUGUCAUUUAUUUGAAAGGGGCAAUUGCUCCACUACAAGAUGGACCUGCGUUGUAUUAGCUAGUAGGUGAGGUAAUGGCUCACCUAGGCGACGAUACAUAGCCGACCUGAGAGGGUGAUCGGCCACACUGGGACUGAGACACGGCCCAGACUCCUACGGGAGGCAGCAGUAGGGAAUCUUCGGCAAUGGGGGCAACCCUGACCGAGCAACGCCGCGUGAGUGAAGAAGGUUUUCGGAUCGUAAAGCUCUGUUGUAAGUCAAGAACGGGUGUGAGAGUGGAAAGUUCACACUGUGACGGUAGCUUACCAGAAAGGGACGGCUAACUACGUGCCAGCAGCCGCGGUAAUACGUAGGUCCCGAGCGUUGUCCGGAUUUAUUGGGCGUAAAGCGAGCGCAGGCGGUUUGAUAAGUCUGAAGUUAAAGGCUGUGGCUCAACCAUAGUUCGCUUUGGAAACUGUCAAACUUGAGUGCAGAAGGGGAGAGUGGAAUUCCAUGUGUAGCGGUGAAAUGCGUAGAUAUAUGGAGGAACACCGGUGGCGAAAGCGGCUCUCUGGCUUGUAACUGACGCUGAGGCUCGAAAGCGUGGGGAGCGAACAGGAUUAGAUACCCUGGUAGUCCACGCCGUAAACGAUGAGUGCUAGGUGUUGGAUCCUUUCCGGGAUUCAGUGCCGCAGCUAACGCAUUAAGCACUCCGCCUGGGGAGUACGACCGCAAGGUUGAAACUCAAAGGAAU